AAAUUGAAGAGUUUGAUCAUGGCUCAGAUUGAACGCUGGCGGCAGGCCUAACACAUGCAAGUCGAGCGGUA
rnacentral:rRNA from 6 species